rnacentral:lncRNA from 1 species
UGCGGUGCUGUGCUGGGAAUGACUGGUGUAGUCAUCCUCCACAAGCAUGUGCUUUGGAAUGGGUGAGUAUCUUCCAGGUGAGAUAGGGGCCAAAGACGCCUUGUACUCUAAAGUGCCGUUGUUUCCAGAAGAGAGUAUAUGAUUUUCCAUUGGUGGAGAAUAAGAGUGAGUAAUGUCUGGUGGGCCAUAAGGAUCGGUCAUGUAAAUGGUGGUGGGCUUUCCAACUUUUAGAUACACUACAUCUGAUGUGUUCUUCAGUAUCGCUACAGCUUCUUCAUGAGUAACUUCUUCUAAACUAUAAUUGUUUACCAUAAGAAGUCUAUCUCCAACCUGUAACCUCCCAUCUUUUUGCGCAGCUCCUCCUUCAAUAAUCUUGGUGACAUAAAUGCUGUUGUCCCCAGGAAUGUGUUGGUUUCCCACUCCUCCUGCAAUACUGAAACCCAGACCUUUAGGGCCUUUGAACAACUUGAUCUCCACCACGGUCUCCAGAAUAGGUCUCCUUCGACGAACAUACAAUCGGACUAUGGAGCCAGCCUCUUUUAGGGCCUCCACGGCUUUGCUGUGUGAGACUUCUGACACAUCCACCUCAUUCACUCGCAAGAUGCAGUCGUUGACCCACAUUUUUCCAUUCCUCCGUCCGUUCUCUA